rnacentral:rRNA from 1 species
UCCGUAGGGUGAAUUGCGUAGAUAUCUGUGGAACUUCAAGGCAAUUUUGCUGCUGGAUCACAACUGUCGGUGAGGGACGAAGGUAGGGGAGCAAACUGGGUUAGUUAUCUUGGUAGUCCUACCCUAAAUCAUCAGGACUUGGGGUUUGCCCUGUAUUGGCAAGUCCUGUAGCUAACGAUUAAGUCCUGCGCCUAGGGAGUUCGGUAGCAAGACUAAAAUAUAUGGAAUUGACGGGGGACCGCCCAAGCGAGGGAACAUGUGGUUCAAUUAGACGCAAAGCGCAGAACCUUACCUGGGCUUGAACCGCACAGGACCAUAGUUGGAAACAGAGACUUCCCUCAAGGUACUUUUGUAGAGGUGGUGCAUGUCAGUCGUCAGCUCGUGCCGUGAGGUGUUGGGUUAAGUCCAGCAGCGAGCGCAACCCUUACUCAUAGUUACCACCCGCAAGGGGGACCUCUAUGAGGACUGCUCCGGAUAACGGAGAGGAAGGUGGGGAUGAGGUCAAGUCUGCAUGGCCUUUAUGUCCAGGGCCCCACACGUGUUACAAUGCGCGCCACAAAGGGUUGCAAGCCCGCGAGGGGGAGCUAAUCGCAAAAAAGCGCGCUCAGUUCGGAUUGCAGUCUGCAACUCGAUUGCAUGAAGCAGGAAUCGCUAGUAAUGGCGCAUCAGAACGGCGCCGUGAAUACGUUCCCGGGCCUUGUACACACCGCCCGUCACAUCACGAAAGUGGGCUGUAAUAGAAAUCGCCGUGCCACCCGCAAGGAGGCAGGCGCUCAAGGUAUGACUCAUGAUUGGGGUGAAGUUGUAACAAGGUAACC